UACGUAGGAGGCAAGCGUUGUCCGGAGUUACUGGGCGUAAAGCGUCCGCAGGCGGUCCAAUCAGUCUGUAGGGACAGGGCACAGCUUAACUGUGUCAGGCUUAUGGAAACUGUUGGACUUGAGGGCUUCAGAGGGAUGGGGAAUUCCGGGUGGAGUGGUGAAAUGCGUAGAGAUCCGGAAGAACACCAAAGGCGUAGGCACCAUCCUGGGGAGUCACUGACGCUCAUGGACGAAAGCUAGGGGAGCGAACGGG
rnacentral:rRNA from 1 species